GACGAACGCUGGCGGCGUGCUUAACACAUGCAAGUCGAACGAAGUGGCGAACGGGUGAGUAAUACGUGGGUAACCUGCCCUCCUUUUUGGGAUAAGCCUUGGAAACGGGGUCUAAUACCGAAUAUAGGGGGAUGGGCUCGCGGCCUAUCAGCUUGUGGGUGGGGUGAUGGCCUACCACGGCGGUGACGGGUAGCCGGCCUGAGAGGGUGACCGGCCACAUUGGGAUCGAGAUACGGCCGAGACGCCUACGGGAGGCAGCAGUGGGGGAUAUUGCACAAUGGGCGAAAGCCUGAUGCAGCAACGCCGCGGGAAGGAAGACGGUCGUCGGAUUGUAAACUUCUUUAGACAGGGACGCGGUACCUGUAGAAUAAGCCACGGCUAACUACGUGCCAGCCGCCGCGGUAAUAC
rnacentral:rRNA from 1 species